rnacentral:rRNA from 1 species
AUUGAACGCUGGCGGCAGGCCUAACACAUGCAAGUCGAGCGAGCGGCGGACGGGUGAGUAAUGUAUGGGGACUGCCCGAUAGAGGGGGAUAACUACUGGAAACGGUGGCUAAUACCGCAUACUAUCGGAUAACCCAUAUGGGAUUAGCUAGUAGGGGGGGUAAAGGCUCACCUAGGCGACGAUCUCUAGCUGGUCUGAGAGGAUGAUCAGCAACACUGGGACUGUGACGAGGCUUGGAUGCCAAGGGGGGCAGCAGGGGGGAAUAUUUGAAAAUGGGAGCAAGCAUGAUCCAGCUAGGCAGCGUGUAUGAGGAAGGCCUUAGGGUUGUAAAGUACUUUCAGCGGGAAGGCGUUACCGGCAGUAGAAGCACCCGCUUACUCCGUGUCAGCAGCCGCGGUAAUAC